GCAGCUGUGAACGUUGGUCUCCAAAGAACACUUCUGUCCAGGUGCAUUCCCUUCCAGAGAGACAGGUUGGGUCCCCCUUCCAGGCUGGUGCUCAAGAUUCAGAGGGAUGUGGGAGGCAUGAGGACGGAAGGGCAGAGAGCUGUUUGUGGAGACAAGGAAACACGUCCCACCUCUUUCCGAAAAGCACCGAGGCGCAGGAUGUCUCCUGACACAGACAGUGACAAGCACCGGCCUGAUGCAGAAUCCAUGUGCGCACGGUGUCACAUCCCGCACCCGCUAGAGCUCAAGCGCUUGAGGCCCGAGAUGGGAAGAUCCAUCUUCUGGACACUGACCAGAGAAAGGGGAGAGUGGGAGAUAAUGGUUCCCAUGGUGACAGUAGCUUCUGGUUGCUAAGCACCAACGAUGAGCUGACAGAAGCUAAGGGUUUCACAAGCCUAUCGCCCCAAAGUCCCCCCCGAGACCCCUGUGAGGAAGGAACGCUUACCCUCCCCAUUUCAUGUCAGUGUACCAGUGCUCAGAGAGGGAAGGUAGUGUGGCCAAGGUGGCACAGCUUGAAGAAGGUGCAAGAGGACUUUGAACCCAGGAAGUCUGGUGUGGUGGUUAGAACGAGAAUGGCCCCCAUGGGCUCAUAGAUUUGAAUGCUUGGUCGUGGGGGGAGUGGCGAAUUUGAAAAGAUCAGCAGGAUGAGGAGGUGUGGCCUUGUUGGAGUAAGGGGGUGGGCUUUGAGGUUUUAAAAUCCCAAGCCAGGCCCAGUGUCUCUUUCUGCUUGUGGAUGUAGCUCUCUGCCUGCUGCCAUCCUGCCGUCACGAUAACAGACUAACCAAACUGUAAGCAAGCUCCCGGCUAAAAGCUUUCUUUUCAUCAGAGUUGCCCUGGUCCACCGUGUCUCCUCACAGCAACAGAACACUGAGGCAUCUGGUUUGAGAACCUACUUAUGUGAUCAUGGGCUGCCACAUGGUAGGUGCGGGGCAGAUAUGAGGUCAGGAUGAAGAAGGAAGCUGUGGACCCGACAGGAUGCUGGGGAGGGAUGCUGAGGGUGGUCUACCACAGAGGCGAGGAGGAGACACGGGGCACAGGGCUGGUCUUUCCGUGGUUGCCUAGACCUCGAGGACUCAGAUUGGGAAACAAGAAGCCACUCAAAGCUGUGGUUCCCAGAUUCACACAAUGAAACCCCAACUUCCCACACAGGGGCGUUUAGCAAUGUCUGGAGGUGUUUGGGGUUUUUUUUCCACAGCUGAGGGUGUUGCUGGCAUGUCAGUGGGUAGAGACAAGGAAGGUCACGUCUCACCCCACAGUUCAUGGAACGUACGGGUGAAAUGGUAUGGACACAAGCCACUCUGAGAGCAGUGGGCUCAGGGGUGGCCAUGCAGAUAGAUGCCUCCCAGUUCUCAGCUGCAUGGAUGGCUAACAGGUUCCCAUGACAACUGCCAGGCAAGGAAGGACCUUGGAUUCUGUGGCUUUAUAGGUUUUCUGCCAACUCUUUCUCCUGCUGGAACUAUCCACCCCCUUCCCCACAAUCCAUAGAGAAGAAUGAGCUAGAGAGGAAGGCGUGGUCCGAGACCUUUUCCUGAUGAUAAAUGAGGGCACAGGACUAAUUUGGGGUGGGGUGUAAAAAAAGGAAGUGUAAAACCACAAACGCCCAACUAGCAUAUGUGGAAGAGACUGGAAAGGGAGGUGUUGAGCCAAAGCCAUGAAUUGUCUUCCCAGAAAAAAAAAAAAAAUUAUGUGUAGUUUUCCAAUCCACUAAGGGGCUGGGGAUGUAACUCAGUUGGCAGAGUGCCCGGUUCCAUCCCCAGCACCUCAUAAACCAGGUGUGGUGGUGCACAUCUGUAAUCCCAGCCUUCAGGAGGGGGAGGCAGGAGAAUCAGGACUUCAACGUCAUUCUGAGCUGUUGUGAUUUCAAGGCUAGCCUGAGCUACAUGAGACCCUGUCUCAACAAACCAAAAAUGAAUAAAUCCAUCCCUUGGCGCCUCAGGUAGGCAAUUAGACUCUCUGUGUUAAAACAGUGGGAACCUGUUUUCAGUAUUGGCUGUUACAGAGCUUCCCACUCAGGGGUGCACCCAGGAGAUGUCUAAGCAAGCAGAGGGAGGGGAGGUAUGCCUGGCAUCUAGUGAGUUUGUAUAAAACUCCACCUUCCAAAUUUAUAAUUUGUAGCUUUAUUUCCUAUCUGUCCCGACUUGUUUUGUCAACUUGACACAAGCUAGAGUCAUCUGAAAGGAGGGAACCUCAAUUGAGAAGAUGCCUCCAUGAGAUCCAGCUGUAGGACAUUUUAUUAAUUAGUGAUUGAUUGGGGAGGACCCAGCCCAUUGUGGGUGGAGCCAUCCCUGGGCUGGUGGUCCUGGGUUCUAUAAGAACACAGGCUGGGCAAGCCAUGGGGAGCAGCCAGUAAGCAGCACCCCUCCAUGGCCUCUGCAUCAGCUCCUGCCUCCAGGUCCCUGCCCUGCUUGAGUUCCUGUCCUGACUUCCUUUGAUGAUAGACUGUGGUAUGGAAGUGUAUGCUGAAUUAACCCUUUCUUUCCCUAGUUGCUUUUGGUCAUGGUGUUUAUCACAGCAAUGGAAACCCAGCUGGACGGUGGACUUGGAGAUUGAAAAACCUUAUGCCACUUCAUUUCCUUUCUCUGCUUUGUGCUUUAUGGUUGAGGAUGUGAGUUCUCAGCUUCCCGCUCUGGCCACCAUGUCUCCCACCUGCUGCCACGCUUCCCUGCAACGAUGGACUCUUAUCCCUCUGGAAUCAUAAGCCCAAAUAAGCUCAUCUGUAAAUUCCCUCGGUCACGGUGUUUUAUCACAGCGACAGAAAAGUAACUAAUGCGGGGCUGGAAGCAUUUGUAGGGUGCACUGGGCCAAUAAAGCUCCCUGGUGAGGCGUGGGCA